rnacentral:lncRNA from 1 species
AUGGCGGUGGUUCCCGGAGGUCCCCGCUCCGGGCCUCCGGCGGGCGCCCAGUUUUUCUGCACCGCGGGCCGCGGCCUGGAGCCCUUCCUGAUGCGGGAGGUGCGGGAGCGGCUCGCUGCCACCCAGGUUGAAUACAUUUCAGGAAAAGUUUUUUUCACUGCCUGUUCUGACUUGAAUAUGCUGAAACAAUUGAAAUCUGCAGAAAGGUUAUUUUUGCUGAUUAAAAAGCAGCUUCCAUUUCCUGUUUCUUCUGUAAGUAAAGGAAAAAUAUUUAAUGAACUGCAAAGACUUAUAAAUGAUGAUCCUGAAAGUUGGUUGAAUGCCAUUUCAAUUUGGAAGAAUCUUCUUGAACUUGAUGCAAAAAAGGAAAAACUUUCUCACAAAAAUGCUAACCCACUCAAAAGGAAAGUAGGAGAAGAUGAUACCGCUGCUAAGAAAUUGAAAACAGAACAAAUCCAAGAGAUCCAAGAGACUAAGGAAUGCCAGCUGGAAAAACAAAUAGAAGAAAAACUAUUGGAGCAAGGAAAUUUUAUCACUGAAGAAGGAAAAUUUCAAGAACUUCAGAAUGAUGUAACGGAAGCUGCUGAUACACGUAACCAGACCGACUUAACUUUCAGAGUCUCCUGUCGCUGCAGUGGAGCCAUUGCAAAGACCCUUACUGCACAGGAGGUAGGAAGAGUAAUUGGAAUUGCUCUUAUGAAACAGUUUGGAUGGAAAGCAAAUUUGAGGAAUCCAGAUUUGGAGAUCUUUAUACAUCUAAGUGACAUUUACUCUGUGCUGGGAAUUCCUGUGUUCAGGGUUCCUUUAGCCUGCAGAGCGUACAUCAAGACAGCAGGGAUGAGAUCUACCAUAGCCUGGGCGAUGGCCUCCCUCGCAGAAAUUAAGGCUGGUGCAGUUGUUUUAGACCCAAUGUGUGGACUUGGAACAAUACUUUUGGAAGCUGCUAAGGAAUGGCCAGAUGUGUAUUAUGUGGGUGCUGAUGUCAGUGACUCCCAGUUAUCAGGUGCAUAUGACAAUCUGAGAGCUGCAGGCCUCAAGGAUAAGGUUGAGUUACUUAGAGUCUCUGUUAUAGAAUUGCCAUUGCCUUCAGAAAGUGUCGAUAUUAUUAUUUCUGAUAUUCCAUUUGGAAAAAAGUUUAAGUUAGGAAAAGACAUCAAAAGGACUCUGCAGGAGAUGGAAAGAGUGCUUCGUGUUGGCGGGACCAUCGUGCUGUUACUCAGCGAAGAUCACCACAGGCACCUUAAGGGUGGUGAGGCGAGUAGCGGCCCUUUGAAUUCCCAGGGCGGCCACACACAGGAACCUGGAGGUGAAGAGUGCUUGACUCCUGCAGGAAAAGCUGCUGUAUCAGAGCCAGUGUCAUCCUUAUUCGUAGCCGGCAACCAGGAGUGCUUGGACAGAAUGCCACUGCUUGGCUCUUUGGUGCCAGUGGACUGCUACAGAGUGAGCCUUGGAAAAACAGACGCACUCAUCUCCAAGUAUAAGAAGUCGUACUCCCCUGGGCGAUAGCGGCCUGCUGCUACUGAGUCCUUACAUGUCAGCUGAACAGAGUAGAAGGCAGUGGUUUCAGGGAUCUAACAGUGCCAGAGAGUUCCAAGUCAACAAAUUCCCCUAAAACAGGGUUGUGGCUGCUGGA